CCUUUGGCAUGAUUACUAUUAGUGGUAGUUUUUGGCACGUUAAGGGUGCAAAGGU
rnacentral:tRNA from 1 species